CGUAGGAACAUGCCUUUUAGUGGGGGACAACUUGGGGAAACUCGAGCUAAUACCGCAUAAGACCUGAGGGUUAAAGGUGCCUGGUUCUUAGAGCGCAUUUAGAUUGUUUAAGUGUGUUGUAAGAACCAGGUGUCGCUAGAAGAUUGGCCUGCGUCAGAUUAGCUAGUUGGUAGGGUAAAGGCCUACCAAGGCGACGAUCUGUAGCUGUUCUGAGAGGAUGAUCAGCCACACUGGGACUGAGACACGGCCCAGACUCCUACGGGAGGCAGCAGUGGGGAAUUUUCCGCAAUGGGCGAAAGCCUGACGGAGCAACGCCGCGUGAGGGAUGAAGGCCUCUGGGCUGUAAACCUCUUUUAUCAAGGAAGAAGAUCUGACGGUACUUGAUGAAUAAGCCACGGCUAAUUCCGUGCCAGCAGCCGCGGUAAUACGGGAGUGGCAAGCGUUAUCCGGAAUUAUUGGGCGUAAAGCGUCCGCAGGCGGUCUUUUAAGUCUGCUGUUAAAGCGUGGAGCUUAACUCCAUUUCGGCAGUGGAAACUGGAAGACUAGAGUAUGGUAGGGGCA
rnacentral:rRNA from 1 species